rnacentral:rRNA from 1 species
CCUACGGGAGGCAGCAGUGAGGAAUAUUGGUCAAUGGGCGGGAGCCUGAACCAGCCAAGCCGCGUGAGGGAAGAAGGUACAGCGUAUCGUAAACCUCUUUUGUCAGGGAACAAAGGCGGGGACUAGUCCCCGGAUGAGGGUACCUGAAGAAAAAGCAUCGGCUAACUCCGUGCCAGCAGCCGCGGUAAUACGGAGGAUGCGAGCGUUAUCCGGAUUUAGUGGGUUUAAAGGGUGCGCAGGCGGCGUGUAAAGUCAGCGGUAAAAGCUCGGGGCUAAACCCCGGCGAGCCGUUGAAACUGGCGGGCUGGAGUGGGAGAGAAGUACGCGGAAUGCGCGGUGUAGCGGUGGAAUGCUUAGAUAUCGCGCAGAACCCCGAUUGCGAAGGCAGCGUACCGGCUCCAAACUGACGCUGAGGCACGAAAGCGUGGGUAUCGAACAGGAUUAGAUACCCUUGUAGUC